rnacentral:rRNA from 1 species
AAGCAGGGGAUCGUAAGACCUUGCGCUUUUGGAGCGGCCGAUGCCUGAUUAGCUAGUUGGUGGGGUAAGGGCCUACCAAGGCGACGAUCAGUAGUUGGUCUGAGAGGACGACCAGCCACACUGGGACUGAGACACGGCCCAGACUCCUACGGGAGGCAGCAGUGGGGAAUUUUGGACAAUGGGCGGAAGCCUGAUCCAGCAAUGCCGCGUGAGUGAAGAAGGCCUUCGGGUUGUAAAGCUCUUUCAGUCGAGAAGAAAAGGUUGCGACUAAUAAUCGCAACUUAUGACGGUAUCGACAGAAGAAGCACCGGCUAACUACGUGCCAGCAGCCGCGGUAAUACGUAGGGUGCGAGCGUUAAUCGGAAUUACUGGGCGUAAAGGGUGCGCAGGCGGCUCUGUAAGUCAGAUGUGAAAUCCCCGGGCUUAACCUGGGAAUUGCGUUUGAAACUACAAAGCUAGAGU